UACGUAGGGGGCAAGCGUUGUCCGGAUUUAUUGGGCGUAAAGAGCGUGUAGGCGGUUUGGUAGGUCCGUUUGUGAAAACUCGAGGCUCAACCUCGAGACGCCGAUGGAAACCAUCAGACUAGAGUCCGGAAGAGGAGAGUGGAAUUCCUGGUGUAGCGGUGAAAUGCCGCAGAUAUCGGGAGGAACACCGGUGGCGAAGGC
rnacentral:rRNA from 1 species